AACAUGGCUUUUAUAAAAGCCACUUAGAUUAUUUUUUUAUCUUAAU
rfam:Physcomitrella patens subsp. patens PHYPAscaffold_15 genomic scaffold, whole genome shotgun sequence.